UUCAGGGUUCCCUCUGGAGCUGGGGGAGGAGGAAAGAAGCAGGAUUCUCUGAAUCCUCAGCCCUGACUACUGCAGCCCAUGUGGCCACAUAGCAUGGUGGUUAGGAGCACGGACUGAGAUCAGACAAACAGUUCAUACCCUGACCACCUGGGGUCUGAGUUCUCAGCUCCAUCUGUAAAAUGAAGAUAAAAAAUAAUAGCUACCUAUUAAGAAGGAGGAGGAUUAAGUAGGAUAAUGUCCACAGAUAAAAUGCAUAGCACAGAGCUGAUACAUAUAGACACUAUGAAUGUCUUGCCUGUUAUUUUUAUUAUUUGACAUUCUUUAAUUUUGAAAAGACACACUGGACUUGAUUAAGAUCUGGCUCUUCAUUGUCUCCAGUCAAAUGUCCUGUGGCGACUCUCUGUGGUACUGACCCUUCACAUCUUGGUUUGAUAUGGCUUACUGCAAAUAAAACAAAACCAAUAUGAAUAGUGAAUAAAUCCAACAACCACAGCCAGCUUUCCACUUCCUAAAAACCUCAGUAAUGCUAAGGAUGGGGCCACACAGAGAUGCAAGGAAGAGAGGACAGUGAGGAGGGAGCUGCAUCAGGAACUACCUGUACUUUGUAACCUCAUCCCCCUCCUCCCAAUACCUGUGAGCACUUCUUCAGGUUCUGUUAGUAGAAAAUGAUGUAGCCAAAGAGGAUUGAAAAGUCCAAUUAAAUAUAUUUUACUUAAUUGUGUUAGAAUAAAAGAAAGGUUUUUUCAAAAAGCUCACGUGUUUGGUAAUUUUUUUUUCACCAUAUAAACAUGUUGAACCACUGACCUUUGUGCAGAGAGAGGGUACAGUGGAGGGAGUGUAUGGCGGUGGACUCCCAGGUGCAGGCUGUAUAAACUUUGGUCAAGUCUGAAGCUUCUACAUCUGUAAAAUGGGGAGAACAUUUUCCUCACAAGGCUGUUGAGAGGAUUGAGGCACGUGGUGUGUGGGAAGGGUCCUAGCCAGAAUAGGUUUUUAAUGAUGUUAGUGUGAUUUUUUUGAAGCCCUUUCUUCAAUUUUUUCACUUUUUUUGCCACAUCAUUGGAACUGCUUAAUUAUUCAGGAUUUUUAUAUCGAGUUUAUGGAUUAUGGAAGCCCUUUGCUAAUAGGUUUAUCUCCUGAUGACUUUUAAAACUGCAAUAUAACUGCAUAUCAGCAUGUCAAUUAUGAGAAACAGCAAACAAUUCAACAUCGAUACUGCUGAAUGCCUUGGUAAAAUGGUUUUUAUAAAAAGGAGUUUGAAAGUAUAGUUAAAAUAUAACUUCAUGUUUUUAAUGUUUAUUUGACCUAUGGACAUAGUUUGCAAGUUGAUAGUUUUUCUCACUUUUAAAGUUUUUUUUUCUGAUUAUGCACUUAUCACAAAAAUGUGAAGAUCAGAAUAAAAUCACCCAUAAUCUUAUUGCCAAGAAAUAACCACUUGUAACUUAAUUUUUUCCCUUUGAUAUGCAU
rnacentral:lncRNA from 1 species